rnacentral:rRNA from 1 species
CCUACGGGAGGCAGCAGUGGGGAAUAUUGGACAAUGGGGGGAACCCUGAUCCAGCCAUGCCGCGUGUGUGAAGAAGGCCCUCGGGUUGUAAAGCACUUUCAGUGAGGAAGAACGCCUGGUGGUUAUUACCCAUCAGGAAAGACAUCACUCACAGAAGAAGCACCGGCUAACUCCGUGCCAGCAGCCGCGGUAAUACGGAGGGUGCGAGCGUUAAUCGGAAUUACUGGGCGUAAAGCGCGCGUAGGUGGCUUGAUAAGCCGGUUGUGAAAGCCCCGGGCUCAACCUGGGAACGGCAUCCGGAACUGUCAAGCUAGAGUGCAGGAGAGGAAGGUAGAAUUCCCGGUGUAGCGGUGAAAUGCGUAGAGAUCGGGAGGAAUACCAGUGGCGAAGGCGGCCUUCUGGACUGACACUGACACUGAGGUGCGAAAGCGUGGGUAGCAAACAGGAUUAGAUACCCUGGUAGUC